AGUCGAGGGGUAUGUUCUUCGGAAUUAGAGACCGGCGCACGGGUGCGUAACGCGUAUGCAAUCUACCUUUCACAGAGGGAUAGCCCAGAGAAAUUUGGAUUAAUACCUCAUAGUAUAGUGAUACCGCAUGGUACUACUAUUAAAGUCACAACGGUGAAAGAUGAGCAUGCGUCCCAUUAGCUAGUUGGUAAGGUAACGGCUUACCAAGGCUACGAUGGGUAGGGGUCCUGAGAGGGAGAUCCCCCACACUGGUACUGAGACACGGACCAGACUCCUACGGGAGGCAGCAGUGAGGAAUAUUGGACAAUGGGCGCAAGCCUGAUCCAGCCAUGCCGCGUGCAGGAUGACGGUCCUAUGGAUUGUAAACUGCUUUUGUACGGGAAGAAACACUCCUUCGUGAAGGAGCUUGACGGUACCGUAAGAAUAAGGAUCGGCUAACUCCGUGCCAGCAGCCGCGGUAAUACGGAGGAUCCAAGCGUUAUCCGGAAUCAUUGGGUUUAAAGGGUCCGUAGGCGGUUUAGUAAGUCAGUGGUGAAAGCCCAUCGCUCAACGGUGGAACGGCCAUUGAUACUGCUAGACUUGAAUUAUUAGGAAGUAACUAGAAUAUGUAGUGUAGCGGUGAAAUGCUUAGAGAUUACAUGGAAUACCAAUUGCGAAGGCAGGUUACUACUAAUGGAUUGACGCUGAUGGACGAAAGCGUGGGUAGCGAACAGGAUUAGAUACCCUGGUAGUCCACGCCGUAAACGAUGGAUACUAGCUGUUGGGAGCGAUCUCAGUGGCUAAGCGAAAGUGAUAAGUAUCCCACCUGGGGAGUACGUUUCGCAGAAAUGAACUCAAAGGAAUUGACGGGGGCCCGCACAAGCG
rnacentral:rRNA from 1 species